GGCCAAGGGGGGGGGGUGGCUAUACAUGCAGUAGAACGCUGAAGAGAGGAGCUUGCUCUUCUUGGAUGAGUUGCGAACGGGUGAGUAACGCGUAGGUAACCUGCCUUGUAGCGGGGGAUAACUAUUGGAAACGAUAGCUAAUACCGCAUAACAAUGGAUGACACAUGUCAUUUAUUUGAAAGGGGCAAUUGCUCCACUACAAGAUGGACCUGCGUUGUAUUAGCUAGUAGGUGAGGUAACGGCUCACCUAGGCGACGAUACAUAGCCGACCUGAGAGGGUGAUCGGCCACACUGGGACUGAGACACGGCCCAGACUCCUACGGGAGGCAGCAGUAGGGAAUCUUCGGCAAUGGGGGCAACCCUGACCGAGCAACGCCGCGUGAGUGAAGAAGGUUUUCGGAUCGUAAAGCUCUGUUGUAAGUCAAGAACGAGUGUGAGAGUGGAAAGUUCACACUGUGACGGUAGCUUACCAGAAAGGGACGGCUAACUACGUGCCAGCAGCCGCGGUAAUACGUAGGUCCCGAGCGUUGUCCGGAUUUAUUGGGCGUAAAGCGAGCGCAGGCGGUUUGAUAAGUCUGAAGUUAAAGGCUGUGGCUCAACCAUAGUUCGCUUUGGAAACUGUCAAACUUGAGUGCAGAAGGGGAGAGUGGAAUUCCAUGUGUAGCGGUGAAAUGCGUAGAUAUAUGGAGGAACACCGGUGGCGAAAGCGGCUCUCUGGUCUGUAACUGACGCUGAGGCUCGAAAGCGUGGGGAGCGAACAGGAUUAGAUACCCUGGUAGUCCACGCCGUAAACGAUGAGUGCUAGGUGUUGGAUCCUUUCCGGGAUUCAGUGCCGCAGCUAACGCAUUAAGCACUCCGCCUGGGGAGUACGACCGCAAGGUUGAAACUCAAAGGAAUUGACGGGGGCCCGCACAAGCGGUGGAGCAUGUGGUUUAAUUCGAAGCAACGCGAAGAACCUUACCAGGUCUUGACAUCCCGAUGCUAUUUCUAGAGAUAGAAAGUUACUUCGGUACAUCGGUGACAGGUGGUGCAUGGUUGUCGUCAGCUCGUGUCGUGAGAUGUUGGGUUAAGUCCCGCAACGAGCGCAACCCCUAUUGUUAGUUGCCAUCAUUCAGUUGGGCACUCUAGCGAGACUGCCGGUAAUAAACCGGAGGAAGGUGGGGAUGACGUCAAAUCAUCAUGCCCCUUAUGACCUGGGCUACACACGUGCUACAAUGGUUGGUACAACGAGUUGCGAGUCGGUGACGGCAAGCUAAUCUCUUAAAGCCAAUCUCAGUUCGGAUUGUAGGCUGCAACUCGCCUACAUGAAGUCGGAAUCGCUAGUAAUCGCGGAUCAGCACGCCGCGGUGAAUACGUUCCCGGGCCUUGUACACACCGCCCGUCACACCACGAGAGUUUGUAACACCCGAAGUCGGUGAGGUAACCUUUUGGAGCCAGCCGCCUAAGGUGAAUAGAAUUG
rnacentral:rRNA from 1 species